CAGUCGCCGCGGUAAUACGUAGGUGGCAAGCGUUGUCCGGAAUUAUUGGGCGUAAAGGGCUCGCAGGCGGUUUCUUAAGUCUGAUGUGAAAGCCCCCGGCUCAACCGGGGAGGGUCAUUGGAAACUGGGAAACUUGAGUGCAGAAGAGGAGAGUGGAAUUCCACGUGUAGCGGUGAAAUGCGUUGAGAUCGGAAAGAACACCAACGGCGAAAGCACUCUGUUGGGCCGACACUGACACUGAGAGACGAAAGCUAGGGGAGCAAAUGGGAUUAGAUACCCCGGUAGUCCCUGUCUCUUAUAA
rnacentral:rRNA from 1 species